CCAAACAAUGGCACAGGAUAUUAGGCAGAUGGUUAUAAUGUAAUGUCUCAUUAGUGUGUUCCAAUUUUAGAGAGCUACACUGUUAGAUGUCGCUGUAGAUUUAGCAGCACUGUACUGUAAAAAUCCACAGUACUAUACUGUAUGUGUACAUUACAGUACAGUACUGCAGUUCAUAAUGCAUUCUGGGUAAAUUUGUUUGAGCGGGAACAUUUUACAGUAUAUUUUGGUCUUGAUGUAACCUUGCUGUAGCCAUUGCUGUAAUGUGCCAGGUGUACUUGCAAUAAUCAGAGAAAGUGCGCCAACGUCAAAUCACACAGACAGAGGGAGCGCACAACUCUUGGCUGCAGCUGAAGGAGGACGAUUGAUUUCUGUCAGUUCGUCUUACCAUUGCUUGUAAGUCGGAUUGGGUAAGAUGGAUCAUCUUUAAAGGCACCAGGAGUUAAGGCAGAUGUGGAGGCACAACGGGUGACACCAGACACACACCAAGCACAUUGUUCGGUAAGUUUGCACUUUACCACUACAGUUUCUUUAAAUACCCAUGUAUACACUCAUUCACAAUUCCCACACACAACACUGUAACACGACCAUACACAACAUGUACACAAUUGUCUUAGUUUGCCAUGUAGAAAUAUACAAACAGAAAUAUUCAGACUUUGGUUAUAAGAAAUUUAAUUUAAUAAUUGUAUUUAUUUAGCAGAGGUGUCCCUGGACUUUAUUGACAAAAGAUUUUGUUUUCAGAAUAAAAAGUUGUGUCCAAAUCAGUAACAAUUGUACUUUCUGUUCAGGACAUUCAAUCAUGACAGGAUCCAGGUGGAUGCUGUCCAUUGAGGAAAGAGUUUGUUCAGCGGUUUCUGGAUAUAAUUAAUUCCAAAGAUGGGAAAAAGUGCACAUCCAGACAAGGAGCAAGCAAAAAGACAAGGAACUUGGUGCAGAGAAAAGCUGUGGCCAUUAACCCCCAUGUGAACAGCUUCAUGCAGUCCCUGAUUGAGUUCGAAUGGACGACUUCAAAGUAAAGGCCACUGUGGUCUGUCUGCCACAGUUUAAUGCAUUUAUUUUUAGUGUUAAAUGAAAUUCAAGUAGAAUAUUUAAAACUAUGGGCCAGUGUUCUUUUUACCACAGUGAAAUGUUACCUUUUAGUCGAUGAUGGACUUUAAACUGAAAACUUCAAACUAUGGAAGAGUGUUCUAUUUGCCAGAGUUAAAUAUGUUACAGCAGGGGUCUCCAAACUUGUUUAUACUUGUUGAUUUUAUUUUAUGUUACUUGAUUAUAUGUUUAUUAUUGUUUAAAAUCUUGUUUUAAAUAUGUUUUGUUUCGAUUAAAUGUUUUUUAAAUAAAAUUUUGAUACAAACA